UGAGUAGGGAAGAUGUCUGGAUUCGAUGGAAUUCGUGAGAGCACCCAAACAUGAACCACCGGCGGACUUUUAAAAACACAUGAUUUAUGGAUUACUCAGGUGCCCCACAGCGUGCACAAAUGGUAUCCCCCUGAAGACUCUCGCUCUUAAGUGUUUCUUUACCACAAUACAUCCUGAUACAAAUUGCCAUAAGAAAUGUUUCAUUUUUGGAGGGCACCGUAUUUUCCAGCAAAAAGCCUUCAGGGGAGAGACCGAGGGACCAUACCCUGGAAG
rnacentral:lncRNA from 1 species